UGAAUAGGAACCAUUAGGGUUCGGUUAUUGUCGGGUUGGUCGGAUUCCAGAUAAAAUGGCUUAGCUACACGAUCAAGCGGUUUAUUCGUUUCUUGAUUUCACCAAGAAUAGAAGUGCGCGACGGAAUAAAGUUAAAGUUAACUGUAACCAAAAAUUUGUACAUUAAAAUAGUGAAAGUGACUAGUUGAUUUAUCUAGAUCGAGAGGUGCACCAAGUAGAAGAAGUUGCCCUAAAAGUAAGAAUCCGCAGUGCGGUUAAUAGUGAAACAGUAGUGUUCUUUGUAUAAUUUAUUGUACUUAUUGUAUGUAGAUCCAUUGUGUAAGUGUAACAAGCAUCUCGAGGAACAAAGAAACAAUUGUAGUUCAUUAAGAAGAACAAGAAGAAAAAAAAGCAGAGCCAGGGCAAGGUAGUACGGUGGUGCGUAAGGCCGAUUCCCAGUGGCUCCCGAACUAGUUACAGUCCGGCAUCAACUCGUUUGUCGAGCAGUGCUUUUGGUGAAUGCCAGCGUAAUCGGUGGAUAUUAUUUGGAGUCAGGGAUCGCCCCGCAUUCCCGACGAAAUCGUCAAGCCAUCUGACGUCUUUCGGCCAUCGCCAUCGUCGCCGGAGACGCGAAGUUAAGCACGCCAUCGCCAUCGUCGCCGAAGACGCGUUUGCAAACCACGCCAUCGCCACGCCAUCGCACACCUAUCGGCCAUCGCCAUCGUCGCCGAAGACGCGUUUGUAAACCACGCCAUCGCCCACCUUUCUGCCAUUGCCAUCGUCGCCGAUAACGCGUUUGCAAACCACGCCAUCGCCCACCUUUCUGCCACCACCAUCGUCGCCGAAGACGCUAUCGCGAGCAAGCACGUCACCGGUCGAGCCCUAGAACAGCCAUCGCCACCACACCACCAUCUAUCGCUAACAUCGCAUGUACCGAGAUCGCACCCGUGUCAACGUCCAGAACCUCGAGUGGCCAUCGCCGACAUCGCCAAGUGGGUUCACGAUUCCGCCAGUGCCGGCGGUUAGCUUUCAGCAGUCAUCGUGGGUCAAGUCCACGCAACGUCGAUCAUCGCACGCUCAUCAAGAACCGGUGGCGAACGGUGGUUCUCAACUACCAUCAGACGGCCCGCGACGAACCGCACGGUAGGACCUCCGUCGAUGCAUCGUGGCACUGAGAGAAAAUCAUCCGGACUGAGAGAGAAUGUCAAGAAAAACCGCAAGUA